UCGAGCGCCCCGCAAGGGGAGCGGCAGACGGGUGAGUAACACGUGGGAACGUACCUUUCGGUUCGGGACAACCCAGGGAAACUUGGGCUAAUACCGGAUACGCCCUUCGGGGAAAGAUUUAUCGCCGAAAGAUCGGCCCGCGUCCGAUUAGCUAGUUGGUGAGGUAACGGCUCACCAAGGCGACGAUCGGUAGCUGGUCUGAGAGGAUGAUCAGCCACAUUGGGACUGAGAUACGGCCCAG
rnacentral:rRNA from 1 species